rnacentral:rRNA from 1 species
AUUGAACGCUGGCGGCAUGCCUUACACAUGCAAGUCGAACGGUAUCGGGCCUUCGGGUGCCGACGAGUGGCGAACGGGUGAGUAAUACAUCGGAACGUGCCCGAUCGUGGGGGAUAACGAGGCGAAAGCUUUGCUAAUACCGCAUACGAUCUACGGAUGAAAGCAGGGGACCGCAAGGCCUUGCGCGGACGGAGCGGCCGAUGGCAGAUUAGGUAGUUGGUGGGAUAAAAGCUUACCAAGCCGACGAUCUGUAGCUGGUCUGAGAGGAUGAUCAGCCACACUGGGACUGAGACACGGCCCAGACUCCUACGGGAGGCAGCAGUGGGGAAUUUGGACAAUGGGCGCAAGCCUGAUCCAGCCAUGCCGCGUGCAGGAUGAAGGCCUUCGGGUUGUAAACUGCUUUUGUACGGAACGAAAAGCCUUCUUUUAAUACAGGAGGGUCAUGACGGUACCGUAAGAAUAAGCACCGGCUAACUACGUG